rnacentral:rRNA from 1 species
UACGUAGGGUCCGAGCGUUAAUCGGAAUUACUGGGCGUAAAGCGUGCGCAGGCGGUUUUGUAAGACAGAGGUGAAAUCCCCGGGCUCAACCUGGGAACUGCCUUUGUGACUGCAAGGCUUGAGUGCGGCAGAGGGGGAUGGAAUUCCGCGUGUAGCAGUGAAAUGCGUAGAUAUGCGGAGGAACACCGAUGGCGAAGGCAAUCCCCUGGGCCUGCACUGACGCUCAUGCACGAAAGCGUGGGGAGCAAACAGG